rnacentral:rRNA from 1 species
GGCUCAGAGCGAACGUUUGCGCGGGCCUAACACAUGCAAGUCGAACGCACUAGCAAUAGUGAGUGGCGCACGGGUGCGUAACACGUGGGUAAUCAACCCUUCAGCUUGGGAUAACGACUUGAAAGGGUCGCUAAUACCGGAUACGGCGCGAGAGGCUUCGGCUUCUCACGAGAAAGCCUCGCAAGGGGCACUGAAGGACGAGCCUGCGGCCCAUCAGCUAGUUGGUGAGGUAAGAGCUCACCAAGGCUAAGACGGGUAGCUGGUCUGAGAGGAUGAUCAGCCACACUGGCACUGGAACACGGGCCAGACUCCUACGGGAGGCAGCAGUGAGGAAUAUUGGGCAAUGGGCGAAAGCCUGACCCAGCCACGCCGCGUGAGUGAUGAAGGCCCUCGGGUCGUAAAGCUCUGUGGAGAGGGACGAAAACCCUGGUUUCAAAUAGGCUCCAGGCUUGACGGUACCUCUUUAGCAAGCACCGGCUAACUCUGUG